rnacentral:rRNA from 1 species
CAUGUAGGCGGUCUGCUAAGUUCGGAGUGACAGUCACCAGCUUAACUGGUGAAGUGCUUUGAAAACUGGCUGACUUGAGAGCGAGAGAGGGACAUGGAAUUCCGGGUGGAGCAGUGGAAUGCGUAGAGAUCCGGAGGAACACCAAAGGCGAAGGCAGUGUCCUGGCUCGUUUCUGACGCUGAGGUGCGAAAGCCAGGGGAGCGAACGGGAUUAGAUACCCCGGUAGUCCUGGCCGUAAACGAUGACCACCAGGCGUGGGAGGGAUCGACCCCUUCUGUGCCGUAGUCAACACAUUAAGUGGUCCGCCUGGGGAGUACGGUCGCAAGACUAAA